AAAUCAUGCAUUUGGCAUUUUCUAAUUAACUCCUUGAAUUGCAUUCAUGCUUCAUAUAAUGUUUCAUCCUCAGAUUACCAAAAGGCCAUAAUAUCAUUCAUCAAUUU
rnacentral:snoRNA from 1 species